rnacentral:rRNA from 1 species
AGAGUUUGAUCAUGGCUCAGGACGAACGCUGGCGGUGUGCUUCACACAUGCAAGUCGAACGGGGUAGCAAUAUCCAGUGGCGGACGGGUGAGUAACGCGUGGGAAUCUGCCUUUAGAUGGGGGAUAGCAAACCGAAAGGUUUAUUAAUACCGCAUAUGUAUACAUCACGACAGUGGAGUAUAUGAAAGGAGUAAUCCGUCUGAAGAUGAGCCCGCGUCCGAUUAGCUAGUUGGUAGGGUAAAGGCCUACCAAGGCGACGAUCGGUAGGUGGUCUGAGAGGAUGAUCACCCACAAUGGGACUGAGACACGGCCCAUACUCCUACGGGAGGCAGCAGUGGGGAAUUUUGUGCAAUGGGCGAAAGCCUGACACAGCGACACCGUGUGAGCGAAGAAGCCCUUUGGGGUGUAAAGCUCUGUCAGCUGGAACGAAAAAAAUGACGGUACCAGCAGAGGAAGCAUCGGCUAACUACGUGCCAGC